UACGUAGGGUGCGAGCGUUGUCCGGAAUUACUGGGCGUAAAGAGCUCGUAGGCGGCCAACUAAGUCAGACGUGAAAUCCCUCGGCUUAACCGGGGAACUGCAUCUGAUACUGGAUGGCUUGAGGUUGGGAGAGGGAUGCGGAAUUCCAGGUGUAGCGGUGAAAUGCGUAGAUAUCUGGAGGAACACCGGUGGCGAAGGCGGCAUCCUGGACCAAUUCUGACGCUGAGUGAGCGAAAGCCAGGGGAGCAAACGGG
rnacentral:rRNA from 1 species